CCGUGGAAGCGGGAGGGAUGUGGUGCUUCAGUGAGGAAAUAAACGCGGGGCGUUUGGUCCCGAGGGGAAGGUGGGCUCGCCGCGGUCCCAGCCGUGGGCUUGCGUCCUCCUGAGAGCCCCACAGGCUGGCUGGGGACACUUGUCGUAUUGUGGGGAUUGUUGCCCUUCAUCCUAGGAGGGAGAGGUUGGAAUAAGAUCGUAGAAUUGGUAAGGUUGGAAAAGGCCUCUAAAGUCAUCCAGUCCAACCGUUAAUCCAGCACAGCCGUGUUCACUGUUAAACCAUAUUCCCAAAUGUCACAUUCACACACUUUUUGAACGCUUCCAAGGACAGUGAUUCCACUGCUUCCCUGGGCAGCCCGUUCCAAUGCCUGACAGCCCUUUCAGUGAAGAAAUUUUUCUUGAUAUCCAAUCUUAAUCUCCCCUUUUAACUUGAGGCCAUGUCCUGUCAUUCUGUCACUGAUCGCCUGGGAGAAAAGUCCAGCACCCACCUGGCUACAACCUCCUUUCACGUAGUUAUAGGGAGUGACAGGGUCACCUUGGAGCCUCCUUUUUUCUCCAGGCUUAACAACCCUAGCUCCCUCAGCCACUUUUCAUAGGAUUUGUGCUCUGCUCCCUUCAGCAGCUUCAUUUGCCCUUCUCUGGACACGAUCCAGCACCUCCAUGUCUUUCUUUCAGUGGGUGGCCCAGAACUUAACACAGUACUCAAGGUGUGGCCUCACCAGUGCCAAGUACAGAGGGACAAUCAUUGCCCUAGUCCUGCUGGCCACACUAUUCCUGAUACGAGCCAGGACGCCUCUGACCUUUUUGGCUACCUGGACACCAUGUCGGCUCAUGUUCAACUGGCUGUCAACCAACACCUCCAGACUUCCAAGUUUGACCUGUGAUUCUCCCCUGUGCAGACUGCCAUAGGUACAGCAUCACUUCUUUAUUAUCAGGUGCCCAAAAUGGAUUUUUCCUCUUGAGAUGUUGAGUCAUCACUGGAGAAACAGUUACCUCUGAGGAAAGAUUAAUGGCAGUUUUAUUUUCCCAAGAUGAUUCAGAGCAGAGAUGAGCUAUGAACUGGUUAAAUAAGUGGUGUUAAGCCACAGAUGUCAAGACACCAGUGAUAUAGAAUUAUGUAGUGCAAUAUUAGAAAAUACUUUAGGAGCUGAAGUUAGAUUUGGAAUAGAAUUGGGAUUUUCACUGCUCUAAAUUUUUGUUUUAAUUUUGGUGUGUGCAUAUUAUCAUGCCGUGUUUCAUUGCUUUACUAUGUUCUGUGUUAUCUCCAGGGAAUAUUUGUAAAAGACUAUGAAACAAUUCACCAAACUUCAAGUGAUGGAGAGAAUCAAACAACACCAAUGAAAAUUUGCAGAUUUGGUAUCAAUAGGGGUACAAGCUUUAUUAUUUAUUACUACACCAAAAACAUUGCUUCUGCAUCUCUUGGCAUGUUAGUAACAGUCCUUACUUUAAGAAUGCCAGGAAUGUUAUUCAUUAGUCCUAUGUUUGAAUAAUGUAGAUAAAGUCAGUCUGACAGAGUUCAUAUAGGAGAGAUUCCAUCCAUGCAAGUUUUUAUUUAAUAAAUUAAGACUGGUCCUGGCUAUACCAUCAGGGACUGAAAUUGCAGCCGGCAACACGAGAUACUAUGCAACACAAAAACUGGACUUUGCCUUCAUUGGGGAUUUAUGUGGUAUACAUUAGACAAAACAAUCAUCUGGAGGUAGUUCAUUUUUUCCCCUCUCCUUUUGAUUUUUUAGAGUUACUUUCUAACCUUUUUGUCAAUUUGUAAGAGAAGUGCCUUAAAAUACAGCCUGCCUUGUGGUAAAGUUUGUGAAUAUUUUUGCUCUUUCUAAACAGUUGCUUUAUAGUGAGCAAAACAUGCAGAAUGAUAGUCCUUAAAAACAGUAGUCUUGUCCUAAUCCUUUAUCUCAUCCUUUGCUGGUUUAUGCAGUUAUAGCACAAAAAUGUCAGAUUGGAAAGGGUCAAUCCUUUGAUCCUGUUCAGUUUGUAGAAAGAUCAGGGUUACAGAUUUUUCCCAACUGCAGCAAUGUGGCUACCUGUCAUCCAGCAAUUAUAUAGAGAUUCAGCUUGUUUAACAUACACUGCUGAGCAACCAUCAAAGGUUAACCAUUUUCCAGCAUACUAAUCUAGCUGGAUGCAAACCAACUACUUAAUGAAAAAUGCUCUGUAUCCUGUUACUGUUUUUCUGAGUGAUGCAGUCCAACUCACCCUACUUUAAAAAUUGUUCUUGGCAUUGACCUGUGCCAGUACACUUGU